rnacentral:lncRNA from 8 species
GAUGUUCUGUAAAAACACAACCUGAUCCUAUAGAAUGACUGCUGUAUAUGAAAUUGGAUACCUGGCCACGUCUUUGCAAACAUCUGCUGGUUUUCUGCAGUGUUCAGUUGUUCACAUAGUUAUGCUGUACUUGAUUAAAGGGUGAAAGGUUAUAUGUGAAAAAUUCAGACAGGUAUUAGAGAAGGUCACCUGACAACCCUUCAGUGUUCCCAUCGUCACGUGUCAUUGUUCAAGUUACGAACUUUUUUUUCCUCCCUUGAAAACAAGACCAGCCCAUGUCCCGCCUCUUGUACACGACGGUUGGACACCGCAGACAGUCUUAUCACUCCGAUAGGCCAGAACAGGAAUUCGAUCAAAUGAGUCGCAAUUAAACUACACCCCCUUCUUUAAACUCAUUUUAGGAGUAAUUGAUAUCUUCUCCAAAGUGAACUACUGGAAUAUUACCUGUUUCAACAAAUGAUAUACACGUUUUGGGAACUAAAGAGACUCAAAGUACAUACAGUACCCAGCAACACAAACUACCAAUUCAGCAACAGGUGCCCCCCCCCCCCCAGACAUCAGCGUAAGCUAGAGCAGAGGAAGAGGCAUUAA